AUACGUAGGUGGCAAGCGUUGUCCGGAAUUAUUGGGCGUAAAGGGCGCGCAGGCGGCCUGUCAAGUCUGUCUUAAAAGUGCGGGGCUCAACCCCGUGAUGGGACGGAAACUGGCAGGCUGGAGUGUCGGAGAGGAAAGCAGAAUUCCUAGUGUAGCGGUGAAAUGCGUAGAUAUUAGGAGGAAUACCAGUGGCGAAAGCGGCUUUCUGGACGACAACUGACGCUGAGGCGCGAAAGCCAGGGGAGCAAACGGGAUUAGAUACCCCGGUAGUCCUGGCCGUAAACGAUGGGUACUAGGUGUAGGAGGUAUCGACCCCUUCUGUGCCGGAGUUAACGCAAUAAGUAUCCCGCCUGGGGAGUACGGCCGCAAGGCUGAA
rnacentral:rRNA from 1 species